rnacentral:rRNA from 1 species
GACGAACGCUGGCGGCGUGCUUAACACAUGCAAGUCGAACGGAAAGGCCCUGCUUUUGUGGGGUGCUCGAGUGGCGAACGGGUGAGUAACACGUGAGUAACCUGCCCUUGACUUUGGGAUAACUUCAGGAAACUGUGGCUAAUACCGGAUAGGAGCUCCUGCUGCAUGGUGGGGGUUGGAAAGUUUCGGCGGUUGGGGAUGGACUCGCGGCUUAUCAGCUUGUUGGUGGGGUAGUGGCUUACCAAGGCUUUGACGGGUAGCCGGCCUGAGAGGGUGACCGGCCACAUUGGGACUGAGAGACGGCCCAGACUCCUACGGGAGGCAGCAGUGGGGAAUAUUGCACAAUGGGCGGAAGCCUGAUGCAGCAACGCCGCGUGCGGGAUGACGGCCUUCGGGUUGUAAAACGCUUUCGCCUGUGACGAAGCGUGAGUGACGGUAAUGGGUAAAGAAGCACCGGCUAACUACGUG